rnacentral:rRNA from 1 species
GACGAACGCUGGCGGCGCGCUUAACACAUGCAAGUCGAGCGAGAACCGGAGCUUCGGCUCCGGGGACAGCGGCGAACGGGUGAGUAACACGUGGGUAAUCUGCCCUCGGUUCCGGGAUAGCCCGGGGAAACUCGGAUUAAUACCGGAUAGCCUCUCUGGCCUUCGGGCCGGCGAGAAAAGGUAGCUUCGGCCUCCGACCGAGGAUGAGCCCGCGGCGGAUUAGCUUGUUGGCGGGGUAACGGCCCACCAAGGCGACGAUCCGUAGCUGGUCUGAGAGGACGAUCAGCCACACUGGGACUGAGACACGGCCCAGACUCCUACGGGAGGCAGCAGUGGGGAAUCUUGCGCAAUGGGCGAAAGCCUGACGCAGCGACGCCGCGUGAGGGAAGAAGGCCUUCGGGUUGUAAACCUCUUUCAGGCGGGACGAAGCCACUCGGGUGAACAGCCCAGAGGGUGACGGUACCGUCAGAAGAAGCCCCGGCUAACUACGUGC